UUGACUCAACGCGGGAAAUCUUACCGGGUCCGGACACACUGAGGAUUGACAGGCAAUAUUAGCACUUAGCUUCGGCGACGUGUUAUGUUAAAUAUGCUAGUCCUUUCAUGAUUAUGUGAUAGGUGGUGCAUGGCCGUUCUUAGUUCGUGGAGUGAUCUGUCUGCUUAAUUGCGUUUCACCAAGGGCCUAUAAUUUUACGUGUGUUGCGGCACUUUGACCCCUCUUUUUUUAAAGAGCGCGUGUCUUGGUUUGCUUAGCUCGCACAAUUAGGUCCUGAAAGCAACGAACGUGACCGCAACCUCUUGUUGCCUUUAUACCAAACGUGCAUAUGCAAUUUUUUAAUUGCUUUGCGCGCAAAAAGGCUUUUUAAACUAGAGGGACCGCUGUUACUUUCUUAAACCAGAGGAAGGUUGCGGCAAUAACAGGUCUGUGAUGC
rnacentral:rRNA from 1 species